rnacentral:lncRNA from 1 species
AUUAAUAUGCAAAUUGGCUACAAGCCUAAUAAGCAUUUAAACAAAGUUUACACAAAAGAAAUUUAGGAACAUUCAUCUUCGGUUGGCAUGAAAUGUCUAUCCUAAACCAAUAUGGCAGGACACUGCAUCUUCCCUAAGCAUGGGUGAUCUUUUAUUAACUUAGUGAUCAUGAAGAAUAGUUGUAUAAAUAUCAUACUUAAAAUCACAAAAAUUAAAUAUGACAAGAAAUAAAAUAUUCAUUAAGAACAAAAUAAAGUUUAUACAAUUUCAAGAAAAAAUACAAAACUUUUAUUCCUUUGUUAGGGCUGCAUCCAGCCCUAGUGCAGAGCUCAGCUUUCCAUGGUACGGGGGAUAGCAGCAGCGACGCAGAAGGCCUUCAUUACGACUGGGUUCUCCCUCCUUUUUCCCGUCGGCUCCCACUCCCUCUUGGACUUCUGUGGGAAGGCAUUCCUGAAAUACCCAAACCAUUCUCCCUCUUCAAGUAAGCUAUUCCAAGGAGUCGCCGAAGAGAAGUGGAACUGAACCGAAGUUGCCUCCCCUGUUUCAUGCCUGGGCCUUUUAUAGGCUGCCAUCUCCCC